AGACGAUAUAGCUGAGUGGUAAAGCAAUAGUUUGCAAAACUAAAUAAUCUCAGUUCGACUCUGAGUAUCGUUUA
rnacentral:tRNA from 1 species